UACGGAGGGUGCAAGCGUUAUCCGGAUUUACUGGGUUUAAAGGGUCCGCAGGUGGGGAGGUAAGUCAGUGGUGAAAUACCCGGGCUCAACUUGGGUGCUGCCAUUGAUACUGCUUUUCUUGAGUGUAGAUGAGGUGGGCGGAAUACAGCAUGUAGCGGUGAAAUGCGUAGAUAUGCUGUAGAACACCGAUUGCGAAGGCAGCUCACUAAACUACUACUGACACUCAGGGACGAAAGCGUGGGGAUCAAACAGG
rnacentral:rRNA from 1 species